rnacentral:tRNA from 1 species
GGGGCUGUGGUUCAGUGGUAGAUCGCUUGCCUGGCAUGUGUGAGGCACUGGGUUCAAUCCCCAGCACCACA